rnacentral:rRNA from 1 species
GGGGGAUAUUGCACAAUGGGGGGAACCCUGAUGCAGCGACGCCGCGUGGGCGAUGGAGCGCCUCGGCGCGUAAAGCCCUAUCAGCAGGGAAGAAAAUGACGGUACCUGACUAAGAAGCCCCGGCUAAAUAC